CCUACGGGUGACAGCAGUGGGGAAUAUUGGGCAAUGGGCGCAAGUCUGACCCAGCAAUGCCGCGUGAAGGAAGAAGGCUCUCGGGUUGUAAACCUCCUUUUUGAGGGACGAAGACAGUGAUGGUACCUUAGGUAUAAGCCACGGCUAACUACGUGCCAGCAGCCGCGGUAAUACGUAGGUGGCAAGCGUUAUCCGGAUUUAUUGGGUGUAAAGGGUGUGUAGGCGGGAAAGCAAGUCAGAUGUGAAAACUCAGGGCUCAACCCUGGACCUGCAUUUGAUACUGUUUUUCUUGAGUGCCGGAGAGGCAGGCGGAAUGUCGUGUGUAGCGGUGAAAUGCGUAGAUAUAC
rnacentral:rRNA from 1 species